GCUUAGAGUUUGAUCCUGGCUCAGGAUGAACGCUGGCGGCGUGCUCAACACAUGCAAGUCGAACGGUCUCUUCGGAGAUAGUGGCGGACGGGUGAGUAACGCGUGAGAAUCUGCCUUUAGGUUCGGGACAACAGUUGGAAACGACUGCUAAUACCGAAUGUGUCGCAAGAUGAAAGAUUUAUUGCCUAAAGAUGAGCUCGCGUCUGAUUAGCUAGUUGGUGGGGUAAAAGCGUACCAAGGCGACGAUCAGUAGCUGGUCUGAGAGGAUGAUCAGCCACACUGGGACUGAGACACGGCCCAGACUCCUACGGGAGGCAGCAGUGGGGAAUUUUCCGCAAUGGGCGAAAGCCUGACGGAGCAACGCCGCGUGAGGGAGGAAGGCUUUUGGGUUGUAAACCUCUUUUAUCAAGGAAGAUAAUGACGGUACUUGA
rnacentral:rRNA from 1 species